CCUAGCCCUUCUGCAUGCCCUCCAGCGCCCAAACACUUCGUCUCCCAUGACCCAGUGGUUCCCCAAAUCCGGUAGUGGAUCUGCUCAGCUGCCACGGCUCCCUACCACCACAACGAAUCCCGGACGCACAACCCCUCUCGGCCGUCGCCGGUGAUCACUGGCCACCACAGCUCACGCUACUGAUGUGUCACCAGCGAGGCUCGCGUGGGCUAGGUUGUUGUCGAUCUGUUCCUCUCGGUCGACGGCCUCCUUCACCUAUGGCCAGAUGUGCUUGUGGCCGGUGACAGGAGGACAAUGGUCUGGCUGUGCUCCACGACCACCACCACCAAGCGGGGGAGUGCUGCGCCGGCCUCCUCUCCUCAGGCCUCAAGUCUGACCACCACCACAAGACAUGCUCCUCCAUGGGUAAGGAAUCUUGUGUAUAGAUUGCUUCAACACUUUUGCGACCACACUGUACAGCUUAAUAAGUUAAUAUAUGCAAAAUUCUGUACUUUGUGGUUGUAUCAGCGUAGUGAAUUUGAUGCUCCAGAAUGUUGCCCGUACCACUCAAACUCACUACAUUGAUCUUUUCUCGUUUUUCCCUAUGGCUCUAGCUUUGACCUUGCACAUAUAGUUCAGAGAGUAAAACAGGAACACUAGGCUAUCACUGAAUACACGAGUAUGAUAUCCAUAUCAUUUCCAGUGAAGAAUUCUUGAGAUAUUUAAUCCCCGCACAAUCAGUAUGACUUUAUAUCUAUAUGUUAACAAAUAAUUUCAGUCUGAAAAUAUCACUAGAACCAGCAUGAAAAUUUGACCUCUCGGAACAUGAAAACAGUGGCUUACUUCAGCUGGCAAGCUUAAGAGAUGGUUCACAUUUAACAGAGUGGUCAUGGUGAAUUAAAAAAUAACAGAAACAGAGGCCCCUCUUUCAAUGUCUGAAGAUUGGUUGUCUCAUAGCGGGCUGUCAGAGGGAGAAAUUCAGUUCCAUAGCCUCAAUGUGAGAUAUACUAAUAAUGAUGCAGGUGAGAUAUACUCCAAGGCAUGAAGAUGGGUAUUGUUGGUAGAAGGUAAAUCAACUCUCAUGCAUGCCCUUUUCCAUAUCAUGGAUCCUACUGUCCAAAUAAACCUUCACCCUCUAGGAGAGUACAACGACAAUAAUAUCUGGGAGGUAUUCUCGAUGUUCAGAUGCUCAUUACUUGUGAUUUCUCAAAUUACUAAUCUUCCCACUGAUACUUUGCAAACCUUGUACUGGCAACAAUGGUUGUGUGCACUUCUCGAAUAUAGAGGCCCUAUGAUCUUCUAAACUUAUCUGAAAAAUAUUAUUCGACUUUUCAGAUCUUGAAUUACUGUCAGCUAGGAGAUGAAGUUCGGAGAAAGGAGCUAAAACAUGACUCGCAAGGUCUGCUCUAUAUUGUACCAUACAGUUCGUAUUCUGGUAGUCUUGCUUCUUCCAAAAUUUCUAAAAUUUGAAAUUACCCUCGAAGUAGUAGAGAAUGGAGAAAACUGGAGUGUGGGCCAGUGUAAGCUUAUGUCUCGGUAGGGUGAUUCUUAGGUGGACCAAGAUACUGGUCUCAUCUGAAGUGGUUUGGAGUGGACGGGGAGUACAAUGUCAUGGUCAUUGAUCUUCUUGGUCCAAGUCUGAAGGACUUGUUCGACUAUUGCAACAGAAAAUUUACCCUUAAAACAGUACUUCUGCUUGUUGAUCACAUGAUCGCCAGGGUAGAGUACAUGCACUUGAGGGGCUUUUUCUUCAUCGUGAUAUAAAGCCAGACAACUUCCUUAUAGGUUUAGGCCGUACAAGAAGCAGGUUUGUGUCAUCAUGAACAUUUUUACCGGCCUAGAUGUGGAGUGUGGAGCAACCAAGGCCGACCAAGUUGUUGGAGGACAAUUUUUCUCUGUUCUCAAAGCCUGUGGUGGAAUACAUGAUGAGGUUGAUGCACCGUUGAGCCAGUGUCACAAAUGUUAUCAAAUGAAAAAUUCUCCUUAACCAAAUUGUUGUAUGCAAAUAUUAGGAAGGUACUACACCUCUUUGAUUCGUCGGAUCUGGUGAAGAAGCUGUCAUGUAAUGUGACAUUUGUAUAGCUAGGCGCACUACUGGGCAUCGAAGGUCGUGCCGGCUCUUGACUUAUUUCCUCAGGCGGCGUCCUUCUGCCAAUGGGGCCUUUGAGAGCGAGGAGCUUAAGAUUUAGAGGAGAAUAGAAGGCUGAGGCCGGGGAAGCCAGCAUAUCAUGAACUAACUGGAGGAGCUGAGCUGGAUUUGCAGGGUGUGCUCCACUGACCAGCUUCUCUCGUCUACCCGGAUGAUGAUAGUAUGUAAAGGAAUGAAUAAAUACUUCUCAUCAGGGAUAAAAGGAACGCAUGGAUA